UUCCAUGGGAAUUGAAGAGCUAAAAGAAGGGUAGGAACUGAGAAUCUUGCAUCUACAUGUUGUACUCUUACCCUGGUUCCAAUAUAUAAUAGCAGUAAAAAAGUGCUGGACAACAAGGUAAAUGAGCGAUUUCUUUCCUUCCGCUUUACUGCUUUAAAAGUAGCUGAUUUGUCUUGCUUUACUGCUUUCCGCUGUUAUUUUUUUCCUUAUCUAACACUGAAGUCUAGAACUGAUAUGGGUUUUCACUGAAGUCCAUUGGUGUCUCUCCUGUACAGAUAGAACAAAGUUACGGAUCCUCUACUUUUGCUCAGUCUCCGAUCAGACCUGCGUUAACUAAUGGAGAAAUAGCUGCUUUAUUGAGACGACAUACAUGUUUCUCCGACGGUGCUAUGUUUUGUGCCAGUAUUGGUGACGACAAACAUGUUUCUCCUACUGAUUGACACCAUGUAUAUGCCAUUGGCAGUGAUGGAAUCUUUAGAGGAGCGUUGACAUUCUUCGUAGAGUUUAAAUGUUGUGGUUUGAUACAGAACAAAAGAAAGAAGUAUCUUUUCCUCUCAAGGCGAGAGGAAGAUGUUGAGUGAAACAAUAAGGAUACUACACAUUAUGUUGUGAAGAUAAUAUUGUUUUCCUGCUCUAACACAGGACACUAGAGCAUGCGUUACAUA